UACGUAGGUGACAAGCGUUGUCCGGAUUUACUGGGCGUAAAGAGCGCGCAGGCGGUCGAUCAAGUCGAGUGUGAAAGCCCCCGGCUCAACUGGGGAGGGUCAUUCGAUACUGAUCGACUCGAAGGCAGGAGAGGGUAGUGGAAUUCCCGGUGUAGUGGUGAAAUGCGCAGAUAUCAGGAGGAACACCGAUGGCGAAGGCAGGAUCUCUGGGCAUUAACUGACGCUGAGGAGCGAAAGCAUGGGGAGCGAACAGGA
rnacentral:rRNA from 1 species